GUUACCAGUCGGUUCAUAUCCGCCAGCAUAGUGAAAGUAUGAUCCAACAAUGAGAGCAUGAUCUGCGUCACCAGUCGAUGUCCAUAUCGAGAUUGCUUUAGUGAAGAAGCAACGGUUGGAGAAGCUGCAGAGAUAAAGACAAGAGAGGGAGUGAUCCGUUUGAGAAUCCACAAGACUUGGCAGGUUUGUGUUAAAAGAGAACCAACCUCAUUAGAGCGAGUCCUCCUGGCUUGAGGAUUCUAUUCAUUUCCUUGAAAACUAUAAGUGGUUUUGUAAGAUAAUCCACACUUACCUAUUGACAUACAAAUAAACACAUUGGUUAGUCAUGACUUGAGUUUUAAUUAUGAAGUUUACUUUUAAA
rnacentral:lncRNA from 1 species